GUAUGAAAAACCUUACAUCUUGAUUUAUUUAAAACUUGUUUAAGGUUAUUAAGCAGAUAGAGGCUAAUUUUGUUGUCUUUCUGCAGGUGCAUGAAGUGCUGCACCUAAUGGGAUGCUUGGUUCCUUUGUGCUAUUUGUGCUUCGAGUCAAUUUGGAGUUUGUAAGAAAAGCGUGAGCUUUGAAAAAGAAAAAAGGGCUCCUGUUUGCUAAUAGCACUUCUAAAUUCUAGCUUGGCAUUCUAUUGCAACAAUUUAAUUUGCAAGAUUGCAGCUUAGCUGUUGGAUCUUUGAACAAAAUCUGGGUCAUUGACAUGGUGAUACAAACAGUCCAUGGUGCACUCUUCAUCAUUCUACAUGCUACUUUUGAAAUCCCUCUAUCUAUUUUCUUCAUUCUGUGUGAAUUGAGUUAAUACUGGUGUGAGAUCACUAUAAGGACUAGACUUUUGGUGGUUCGAUUGGGGAUCGAUGUUACGAUAGAACAUCACAGAAUAGUUGUAUUUUGUUCUUGAGAUGAUUUGGUUGUAUAUUGGUUUGAACUCUUGUGUAUUUCUUUGUUUCUUUAAGUAUUUACUGCAAAUGGCGCUAAAAUCCACUUCCUGAAGUUCCAAUGGGGAAAUCUACACAGGUUGGACGAACAUUUUUGGAU
rnacentral:lncRNA from 1 species